rfam:Oryza nivara chromosome 12, whole genome shotgun sequence.
AAUAAGUACAGCCAUAAGUUUUCGCGCCCAACUUUGAUCGUCCGUCUUAUUUGAAAUUUUUCUAUAAUUAGCAUUUUUGUUGUUAUAAGAUGAUAAAAUAUGAGUAGUACUUUACUCGUGACUUGUGUUUUUAAUUUUUUUUAGAAAAUUUUCAAAUAAGACUAAUGGUCAAAGUUGAACGCGGAAAACCAUGGCUGCACUUAUU